UUUAGUAACGGCGAGUGAAGCGGUAACAGCUCAAAUUUGAAAUCUGGCUCCCUGCGGAGUCCGAGUUGUAAUUUGUAGAAGAUGCUUUGGGUGCUCGGCCCGGUCUAAGUUCCUUGGAACAGGACGUCGUAGAGGGUGAGAAUCCCGUAUGCGGCCGGGGUGGGUGCUCGUGUAAAGCUCUUUCGACGAGUCGAGUUGUUUGGGAAUGCAGCUCAAAAUGGGUGGUAAAUUUCAUCUAAAGCUAAAUAUGGGCCAGAGACCGAUAGCGCACAAGUAGAGUGAUCGAAAGAUGAAAAGCACUUUGGAAAGAGAGUUAAACAGUACGUGAAAUUGUUGAAAGGGAAGCGCUUGCAACCAGACUUGGGCGUCGCUGAUCAUCCAAAGUUUUCUUUGGUGCACUCGACGACGUACAGGCCAGCAUCGGUUGGGGUGGUGGGAGAAAGGUUGUAGGAACGUAGCUCUUUUCGGGGAGUGUUAUAGCCUGCGACGCAAUGCCGCCUACCCUGACCGAGGACCGCGCUUCGGCUAGGAUGCUGGCGUAAUGGUUGUAAGCGACCCGUCUUGAAACACGGACCAAGGAGUCUAACAUCUAUGCGAGUGUUUGGGUGCGAAACCCAUGCGCGAAAUGAAAGUGAACGUAGGUGAGAACCCUUCGAGGGGGCAUCAUCGACCGAUCCUGAUGUCUUCGGAUGGAUUUGAGUAAGAGCAUAGCUGUUGGGACCAAA
rnacentral:rRNA from 1 species